CUACCACACCCUUAAUAACUGUAAAUUCACAUUAAUCUCAUGCUACCACUGUUGUUCAUGCUUUCCUUUAGUCACCAUUGCAUAUCCUCCGCCUAGACCGAAGUAUUUUCCUGUGGUGCAGACAACAGUGUGCACAAUAAGUUGGAGACCUGAUCAUGACCUCUGAAAAAUACUGUAUUACAAACAAAUAUAUAUACAUACAUACACAGUAGGAAAAAAAUAGUAGCAUAAUAGUGGAAGGACGAUUAAAAAGAAGAUUUUGUCAGAGCCUGGAGUGCACUAGUAGGCUAUAAUGACCCUCACCUAGAUUGUGAUGAGCCUCACCUGGGCCCCCACUCGUGGGCCAUAGGUCCAUUAAGCCCUUGCCUGGGGCCUCAGGAUCUUUCCUGAGCUGUGCUGGAUGUGGACCUGUUCCUGAGUUAUUUGUAUUUUUCUGUUUUGACUGCAGACCUAGUCUUAUUCUAUUCUGCUUUGAUCUGAUGACUGCUGGAGACCCUGUAGGACUUGCCACUGCUCUGCUCAACCAGCUCCUGUGCUGUGGGACUGUGCUCUGUUGAAUGUGGACUUCAUCCCACAAUCUUACACUGAAGAAAAAAUGAGCUACAAAGAAUAAUGAUCCAUGAAUUCUAGAGAGCGACACAGUAAGUAUGGGUGAAUAAUUUGGAAAAAAAAAGAAAAAAGGGAAAAAAAAAACUCACUAUUAACUACCUGUACUUUACAUUCUUUGAUCUAGUUUGAAAGUUUGACUUAUUCUUUGAGUCUGAUGUUGCAGUUAUUACACACACAAAACUCCAUUAGAAAAGUGCUUUUUUAAAGGACAGCAAGAUGCCGAUUGCUCUGAAAUUAACAGAAUAUAAAAAUAAUCCUAUCUUUUGAUGUACUCGUGAUAUACUGUUUCAUGUAACAGGUAUUCUUUCAAAGAUAGAGUUCACAUAGAAAAUAUGUAUUCAUAGGAUAAAUGAAUAUCAUGGAACUAUAGCAAUAUACUUCUAAUGGGGAUCUGAUUCAGCUCUUUGUGAAUACUCACUUAGCAAUUAAUCAAAAAAUGUAAGUAGAGAAGUCAUCUGUUGUGCAGUAAAUCAUUUACUCAUAACAGUUACUAGUACAAAAAAACAACCCAAAAUUCUGAGUUAUCUCAGUGAUUCUAGAAUAAAUACUGUAUCAUUGCACCUGAAAUUUUGCUG
rnacentral:lncRNA from 1 species